UUCUCUUUCUUCUAAUGUCUUUGUGGCUCCAUUGAAACGUUUUACGGAUCUGUGUCUUGCAUCUUUGCAUUACGCCACAUAGUUUUCUGAAAAAGUCACAGGAAUACAUUUGAAAUUUAAAUUAAUCAUACAUCACAAGGGCAACUUGUUUUUAUGCAACGGAAUGCACAGAUUGGAGUAAUCGUUUUUCUUAUAACUGGUUGUAAUGUGCCAUUCAAUCAUGAUACAUGCCAAUUAAUAACACACACUUGGAAACAAGCAAACAAACAGAUCUAAAUAAAUUCGUUCCCAUAGAUGCUUUGGGUCGUGCAAGUUUUCACAAGAAAUUAAUGACCCGAAACGAAUAACAUUUCAAGAGAAUUUCUGUGAAUUUAAAUAAAGUUUAAGGGUGCACAUAAAAUAAUCAAUUCACUAACUGAAAACCAAAAUUUCCUUUAUUUCUAGGUAUAACACGACAUGUGAUCUGCAAAUUUCCACCCCUUGAGAGAGCGGAAUCUCAGUCACACCCUCUUGCAGGUAGAAGUCUCAGCUGAAACAUACCGUGCUCUAAAAAAAAUAAAUAAAUUAAUUGCUAACUGUGUUGUGCGAAAGGGUAGGUUUAAAAUUAAGUUAGAAAUUAUUGACCUUUGGUCUCAAUUUUACAUAUUUUCUUUAUUUCUAGGGACACAUCUAAUCUGGAAAUAUGCACCCCUUGAGUGGACGGGAUCUCAUUCACACCCUCUUAUGGUUAGACGACUCAGAUGAACCAUAUCGUGCUCUUAAUAAUAAAUAAAUAAAUAGAUUGCUAACUAUGUGCGAAAGGGUAGCUUUAAAUUAAGUUGGAACUAGACCCUUUGUCCUAAUUUUACCUAUUUUCUUUAUUUCUAGGGAUAACACGACAUCUGAUCUGGAAAUAGCCACCCCUUGGGGGAGCAGGAUAACAUUCACACCCUCUUAUGGUUAGAAAUGUCAGAUGAAGCAUAUUGUGCUCUAAAAAAAUUAAUUAAUUGGUAACUGUAUAGUGCGAAAGGGGAUAACACGACAUCUGAUCCGGAUAUAUCCACCCUUUGAGAGAGCGGGAUCACAUUCACACCCCCUUAUGGUUAGAAGUCUCAGAUGAAGAUUAUCGUGCUCUAAAAAAUAAAAUAAAUAAAUAAAUUGCUAACCGUAUAGUGCGAAAAGGGAUAACACGUCAUCUGAUCCAGAUAUAUCCACCCCUUGAGGGAGCGGGAUCACAUUCACAUCCUCUUAUGAAUGGUUAGAAGUCUCAGAUGAAGCAUAUCGUGCUCAAAAAAAAAAAUAAAUAAAUAAAUUUCUAAUUGUAUAGUAAAGGUCCUAAUUUAACAUAUUUUCUCUAUUUCUAGGGAUAACACGACAUCUGAUGUGGAAAUAUCCACCCUUUGAGAGAGCGGGAUCACAUUCACACCCUCUUAUGGUUGGUAGUCUCAGAUGAAGAUUAUCGUGCUCUAAAAAAUAAAAUAAAUAAAUAAAUUGUUAACCGUAUAGUGCGAAAAGGGAUAACACGUCAUCUGAUCCAGAUAUAUCCACCCCUUGAGGGAGCGGGAUCACAUUCACAUCCUCUUAUGAAUGGUUAGAAGUCUCAGAUGAAGCAUAUCGUGCUCAAAAAAAUAAAUAAAUAAAUAAAUUUCUAAUUGUAUAGUAAAGGUCCUAAUUUAACAUAUUUUCUCUAUUUCUAGGGAUUACACGACAUCUGAUGUGGAAAUAUCCACCCCUUGGGAGAGCAGGAUCACAUUCACACCCUCUUAUGGUUAGAAGUCUCACAUGAAGAUCAUCGUGCUCAAAAAAAUAAAUAAUUAAUUAAAAUGCUAAUUGUAUAGUGUGAAAGGGUCCUAAUUUAACAUAUUUUCUCUAUUUCUAGGGAUUACACGACGUCUCAUGUGAAAAUAUCCACCCCUUGAGAGAGCGGGAUCACAUUCACACCCUCCUAAGGGUAGAAGUCUCAGAAGAAGCAUAUCGUGCUCUAAAAAAUAAAUAAAUAAUUAAAUUGUUAAUUGUAUAGUGUGAAAGGGUCCUAAUUUAACAUAUUUUCUCUAUUUCUAGGGAUAACACGUCAUCUGAUCCAGAUAUAUCCACCCCUUGAGGGAGCGGGAUCACAUUCACAUCCUCUUAUGAAUGGUUAGAAGUCUCAGAUGAAGCAUAUCGUGCUCAAAAAAAUAAAUAAAUAAAUAAAUUUCUAAUUGUAUAGUAAAGGUCCUAAUUUAACAUAUUUUCUCUAUUUCUAGGGAUUACACGACAUCUGAUGUGGAAAUAUCCACCCCUUGGGAGAGCAGGAUCACAUUCACACCCUCUUAUGGUUAGAAGUCUCACAUGAAGAUCAUCGUGCUCAAAAAAAUAAAUAAUUAAUUAAAAUGCUAAUUGUAUAGUGUGAAAGGGUCCUAAUUUAACAUAUUUUCU